rnacentral:tRNA from 1 species
CCAAAGUGCAAAUUUGGAGCAGCACCCAGAAGGUGCCCGGCUUCUCCCACCU